rnacentral:rRNA from 1 species
GAUGAACGCUGGCGGCGUGCCUAAUACAUGCAAGUCGAGCGAACAGACGAGGAGCUUGCUCCUCUGACGUUAGCGGCGGACGGGUGAGUAACACGUGGAUAACCUACCUAUAAGACUGGGAUAACUUCGGGAAACCGGGGCUAAUACCGGAUAAUAUAUUGAACCGCAUGGUUCAAUAGUGAAAGACGGUUUUGCUGUCACUUAUAGAUGGAUCCGCGCCGCAUUAGCUAGUUGGUAAGGUAACGGCUUACCAAGGCGACGAUGCGUAGCCGACCUGAGAGGGUGAUCGGCCACACUGGAACUGAGACACGGUCCAGACUCCUACGGGAGGCAGCAGUAGGGAAUCUUCCGCAAUGGGCGAAAGCCUGACGGAGCAACGCCGCGUGAGUGAUGAAGGUCUUCGGAUCGUAAAACUCCGUUAUUAGGGAAGAACAAAUGUGUAAGUAACUAUGCACGUCUUGACGGUACCUAAUCAGAAAGCCACGGCUAACUACGUG